CUUGUACUCCCUCCGUCCGGAAAUACUUGUCAUUGAAAUGGAUGUAUCUAGAUGUAUUUUAGUUCUAGACACAUCCAUUUUGAUGACAAGUAAUUCCGGACGGAGGGAGUACUUG
rfam:Triticum aestivum genome assembly, contig: Triticum_aestivum_CS42_TGACv1_scaffold_499459_6BL